UUAUUUCUUUUCGCCGCGCGAUCUUUUCGCCGCGAUCGAGAGAGGAGCGCUUGCUGACUGAUUUAUCGCGCGAAAUUGCACGGCUCCGUCCAAAUUACAAACCGAAGCCGCGAUAAUCGCGCGCAGAAUUUCCGGUUACGUAAGGAGCCCGACCAGGCGGUUUCCCUCCCUUCGAAUCUCCCGCCCUCUCUCCCUCCUCCUCCUCCUAUCCGCCAGCCGGCUUACAUAACCUCGUCUCUAUGAAUCGAUAAUGGCUUCGCCUUAACUAGGCACGCCUUAAACGCGCCUGGACCUCUCCGGAUUUCCAUUUUUCCUUCAACAAUGAACGAGUGAAAAGUUACGACGAGUGGGAGAAGCAAGAGCGGAAAAUUGGGCGAGCUUGAUCUUCGAUUGGAACGAUUGGCCAGUGUUGUGUGGACGUAAUAUCGCAUAUAUAGCGGGGUAGAGGAAGUGGAAGAGAGAAAUAGAGUGAUUUGUUUUUUAAAAAUAUCGUGACAACUCUUUUGGGAUUGAUUUCCUUGUUUAGCAGUGAAUAUCGUAAUAUCGUGAGAAAAGGAAAUAGGAGAGAUAUUAAACGAGUUGUUGUAAUCAUGUUUUUAAUAAAAUUUUAUAUAGAUAGAGAAAUUGUAAUGAUUCUUCGUAAAAAUUGUAUCGAUAAUGGUGAUGAUUUCGGAGGAAUUGAACGUUGAAUAUUUCUGGAUAUAUUUGUGGAAUAUAAUAAUAAUAAUAAAGAAAUAUUUAUACGAUUGAAGAAACACAAUUCUAGAAACAAAAUAUUCUUUUUAAAGGAAUUUAUUAUUUUAGCAACGUGUACGGCUUUUGAUCGAUAUGAACUGUUUUAGCAGAAAGGAUGCUCUUUUAACGGGGCUUGUUCACUUUGAUGAAUGGUGCGAAAUAUGCAAUUAUAUGUUAACGUGGAUAAUAUCCGACACGAAAUACAGUUUAACAAGUAACAAAUAGGAAUGCACGAUUUUCGACAUGCGAGUUUCUAUUUACAUUUCAAUGGAAUAUAAUAUUGAAAUAUUAUGCUAAAAUAUGAUGAUUUAUAGGUAUUCCAAUGUUCCCCAUCUAUCACGAACCUCUCAAAUAAUUAACCGGGCGAACGACAAGAAAAUAUUAUAAUUAAAAUGAUCGAUAAUGGUGUAACGUCGUAUUAAUGGCUCGCUCUUAAUAUUAAUGUAAGUUUUCUCUCUAAUUAACCGUUCCGUGUAUUGUGAACGAGCGCGGUUUUUACUCGUUUUUAAACGAGCGCGCUGGGCGUGUCCGAUUUUUUACGUCCGAGUGAAAGUUCUACUUUCCUCUCUAAAUUAUUCCCCAGCUUCUUGGGCAACCAAUUUUCGAAGAAGAAUUCCAAUCUGUGAUAAGCAAUUUAAUAAAACGCGUGACAAACCAUUCCAUCAUUUCGACGCUUAAAAAUUUAAAAAGAAAUCACAAAGGGAACUGCGCAAUGGGAUCGAUUUUAAUUCCCCCUUAAAAACGAUUUACAAUCCAUUCGAAGAAGGAAUAUACCCAUAUGCCUUCGAAGCAUUCAACGAUGUUCAAAAUUAUAUUUUGGCCGAUAAAACAGACACAACAGACGCCAAUAAUGGAACCAAUAUUCGGAAAAUGGGUCGCGGAGAAUAAAUAAAGGAAAAUAGCCAAGUUUUUGGCAAAGGUAUCCAGUGAACCUCUCACCUUGCGGCAGCAAGCAUUAUAUUAUCCCUUACGUACAACUUGGCAAUGUCGAAAAAGGUUGCUCGUUACAACGGAACGGCCGAGGCCCAACAUCGUGUACGACGUUCAGACGCAAUUUUCGACGAUGAUUUACGCUGGUGCGUUAUGCUUGUCGACUUAAUUGCUCGUGAAACAUUGGUCAAGCGGCGAAUAAACAUCGGCGCGCAGAGCAAACAAGAAUAUAAAAUAACGGAUCCGGCGAUGGGUCGCGCCUAAUUGAUCGAGAGAGGGUGAAUCGCAUUUCUUUCUCAGUCGAUAUUUCUCCUGGCCAUGGCGUUUCUCCUAUUUGCGCGCAUUUUUUUUCCCCUCCUUUCUGUGUAUUUAUGCGCAUCGUUUCUUUGAAUGAGAGAGUUGGAUGAUUAUAACAACCGGGUUGUUGGUGCACGUGGUAUUGUUGUGAUCGAGAAUAAUCAUUAGAUAAAAUAGCAUGGAAGUUAUUUUGAGAAAUUGAUUUGUUUAUUUAUUUAAAGAGAUUGUUGAGAAAUUUAGUGGGGAAAAAAUGUAAUGUUAUUGUAUUUUCAUAACAAAUUUGGGAAAUGUUAAUUAUACAUCGAUAUUAUUAAACAAAGAUAUUUAACGUAGGAAACGGGAAGUUGUAAGAAAAUACCAUCCCAUUUCUGCCACCUAAUUUGCAAACCACAAUCUGUCAUCAACAUGUACCAAGGUAUGUAUCUCGUUUAGCGCGGAUCUCCAUUUCUCGUGUUAUUAGAUAUAUCUAUCUCUGGAACGAAUCUAAAGAGACAAGACUGUGAAAAUUAUUGUACAAACAAUUGCACCUAUAUUAAUUAACUUCAAAAUUUUUUUCAUAUACUUUGGAUAUCUUUGGAAACCUGAUUCUAUGGAUCAAAAUAAAAAUUGUUGCACCUAUACUAAUUAACUUUGGAUAUCUUUGGAAACGAUUCUAUGGGUCAAAAUAAAAAUUGUUGCACCUAUACUAAUUAAUUUUGAAUAUCUUUGUAAACCUGAUUCUAUGGUAAAAUAAAAAUUGUUGCACUUAUACUAAUUAACUUUAAAAUUCCAUAUACUUUGGAUAUCUUUGGAAACUUCUAUGGGUCAAAAUAAAAAUUGUUGCACCUAUACUAAUUAACUUUAAAAUUUCAUAUACUUUGGAUAUCUGAUUCCAAGCAUCAAAAUAAAAAUUGUUGUACAAAAA